rnacentral:rRNA from 1 species
GACGAACGCUGGCGGCGUGCUUAACACAUGCAAGUCGAGCGAGGCCCUCCUUCGGGGGGUGUCCUAGCGGCGAACGGGUGAGUAACACGUGGGCAACCUGCCCUCAGCUCUGGGAUAACUCCAAGAAAUUGGGACUAAUACCGGAUAUGACCGCUGACCGCAUGGUCUGGUGGUGGAAAGAUUUAUCGGCUGGGGAUGGGCCCGCGGCCUAUCAGCUUGUUGGUGGGGUAGUGGCCUACCAAGGCGACGACGGGUAGCCGGCCUGAGAGGGUGACCGGCCACACUGGGACUGAGACACGGCCCAGACUCCUACGGGAGGCAGCAGUGGGGAAUAUUGCGCAAUGGGCGGAAGCCUGACGCAGCGACGCCGCGUGGGGGAUGACGGCCUUCGGGUUGUAAACCUCUUUCAGCAGGGACGAAGCGCAAGUGACGGUACCUGCAGAAGAAGCACCGGCCAACUACGUGCCAGCAGCCGCAGUAAAAC